rnacentral:lncRNA from 1 species
CAAAACAGAGAUCGGCGACCGAACUCACCCUCAUCCUCCUCUAUCUCCCCGUUUUCUCCUUCCAAAUCGUCAAUGUCGCUGUACAGAGACAUAGCGAGUGGCCAAUCCAGUGCGUCGCCGACUAGUUUCAAGCUUGUCUCGUCGAGGUGAGCCUUGGCUUUCGAGCUCAAGAGCGACAGGGCAACAAUAGCAGAGAGGAUGAGGAUGAGGAGGAGCUUGGAAGGUGAAACGGCCAUGGCGGUCAGAGAGGGGGAAGAUCGAGGAAAGCAGAUAAGAAAUAAGAGGAGAGAGGGAGGGGAGGGAGGGAAAAGCUGGGAUGGAAGUGAGAGGAGUCGGUGAGGGAAGGAAGAUGAUUGGGUUACAGCUGUGUCUUCAUAAAUGCACCAUUUCAG